rnacentral:rRNA from 1 species
CCUACGGGUGGCUGCAGUGAGGAAUAUUGGUCAAUGGCCGUAAGGCUGAACCAGCCAAGUCGCGUGAAGGAAGAAGGAUCUAUGGUUUGUAAACUUCUUUUAUAGGGGAAUAAAGGUAUCCACGUGUGGAUAUUUGCAUGUACCCUAUGAAUAAGCAUCGGCUAACUCCGUGCCAGCAGCCGCGGUAAUACGGAGGAUGCGAGCGUUAUCCGGAUUUAUUGGGUUUAAAGGGUGCGUAGGCGGGACCUUAAGUCAGCGGUAAAAUUGCGGUGCUCAACGGCGUAGAGCCGUUGAUACUGGGGUUCUUGAGUGAGCGAGAGGUAGGCGGAAUGCGUGGUGUAGCGGUGAAAUGCAUAGAUAUCACGCAGAACCCCGAUUGCGAAGGCAGCAUACCGGAGCUCAACUGACGCUGAGGCACGAAAGUGCGGGUAUCGAACAGGAUUAGAUACCCCUGUAGUC